rnacentral:misc_RNA from 1 species
AAAGUCGUAACAAGGUUUCCGUAGGUGAACCUGCGGAAGGAUCAUUAACACGUAUCCACGUAUCAACCACAGUGUCACGAGUGCGCGUCCAGCGCGUGCUCAGUUUUUCUCCCUUUCAUCAUUGAAUUUUAACCACUUGAACCCAUCAGACUAAAAACUAUUUCGUGCUUUUUUCGCGCAAGCGGAAAAGAACCGAAACAAUAAAAUAACAAGAAACAACUCUUAGCGACGGAUUUCUUGGCUCCC